GUGACGCUACAAGCUUGACACACCUAUAUUUGGGCAGUUUCUCCCAUUCUUCUCUGCAGAUCCUCUCAAGCUCUGUCAGGUUGGAUGGGGAGCGUCAUUGCACAACUAUUUUCAGGUUCCUCCAGAGUUGUUCGAUCGGGUUCAAGUGAG